GGGAAGGGGUUUACCCAGAGGGAUGGUGGAGUAGGAAGGUGGUCAGGGAAUUGGCAGUAAGAAUUGAGACCGUGCAGAACUUCGGUGCUAAUUGUAGGGUCCUGGGCUGGAGCCUGGGGUAGUGGGUAGGGCUGGGAUCCUCUAUCAGCGCCUGAGAGAGUGGCACAGUCUUGAAUUGGAAAACUGCCUGAAAAAAACAUCUGGCCAGAUGAUCUGGUGAGACUUUGAUGCUCCAGAAGGGGAAAACUGUACAGUGACCUGGCCAGAAGGUGCCAAACUAUGAAGAGGAAGCACUGAGACUCCUAGAGAGCAAGAGGGAUUGUGGUGCAAGUGAGCAAAGAAACUGGGCAUCAGACCUGGCAGAACUAAGCCCGACCUAGCCACAAGGAGGGACCCCAGCAGUGAAUAAUCCAUGGAUAGAGUGAUGUGGAGCUACUGCAUUCCUUUUGUCCUGGAUGUUUACAUCUCUAAACAGGGAACUGUGCAUCAGCCUGACUGAAAACUCCUCAUGUGCUGCAAAAGUACAUUUCCUCCACUGAUGUUUUAAUUGGAACUAAACAGGAAGUGCCAAAUCCUGCUCCCAGUGAAGUAGAAAGUAAAGGUACAGUGGACUUCAAUGGCUGCAAGAUUUGUUUCUGAAAUUGUUACAACUUUGUUCUGGACUCGAAUACUACUUGUGUUAUAUGGGGUUUCUAAUUAUUUCACAAGCUGGCAUCCACCAACAGCUGGAUCAGGAGAUCAUUUUAAUUAAAAUAAAAAACAGGCAAAUACAUUUAAGUCUAUUUUUUGUGAGAAGAGCUUAUAAUUUCUCUGCUGAUAUUUUAAAAAGCCCUGUGCAUUUGUUAUAUAUAAACUUGGAAGCUGAUAUUUCUAUUUUAUUUUUGGAGUCUUAGUUGAAUAUUUAUAUCCCAUUAUAUCAGCUGCUCACACCUGACCUUUCUUGCAAACUGAGUCUUGGGUCCAGUGUGGUGGGAGAAAAAUACCUCCCCAAGAAAUAGCCACACUACCCCAAGUUUCUCCUUGUUUCCUGGUGGCAUAAUGUACCCUUGCACAUCAGACCCACCAUUCUUGUCACCUUUGGCUGGGGACUUGCUCCCAGUCGAAUGCUAUGGUGAUAGAAAAUCACCCUUCUCCUGGAUGCUCCUCAAAUAUCCUUGAUUACCCAGUGCACCGUUAAUUUGGCCCACAAGUGGAUAAACAGUUCAUGAUGAAGGGUAUUAACUCCCAGUGAGCAUUCAGGACACAAGGAUCUGUAAGAUAUUUUCAUAUUUUGUUUCAAAAUAGCUGAUAUUCAGAAGAGAACUGAGGCUAGAUUUUCAGUUGGAGAAAAUUAAAAUUGUUCCAUUGAAACCAUUAGAGCUAUGCUUGUUUACACACCAAUGGAAGAUCUGGCCCUUUGGAAACAAUACAUUAGAUGAGAGCCAAAAUGCAAGUCUAUAGGUGCAAAGAAUAUGGAACAAUAUUAAAUGUAAUGCUACUGAUUAGUUGAGCUGUAUGUAUGUAAUGUAAUAUACCUAUUAAAACAGCAUGUUGCCUUAUAUUUCAAAUGUUCAUCAACAUGUAUACUGUAAAUUACAGGAAGUAAUGGUAGUCCUUCAAGCUAAAAUCCAUUGCAGGAUCUGUUUACAGCUGCUAUUCACUAGAACCUAUUUCAUACCUGAAGCAGGAGUAUAGGAUGCAAUGGUGUUUAUGUACAUAAUGACUUAUAAGCUACAGUGGACUUGUCUGAAAGUAGAAGCCCUGUGUGAGUAGUUAAUAAGGUGCUAAUUGGGUGACUGGGUGAGAAUUAAAAGGAAGCACACAAGCUGGCCAGGAAGGGUGUAUUGUGACUAAUGCUGAGCUCUGUGAUUGGCAAUUAGGGUAAAUUGAACUCUUUCUUUGAUGUGGUCUUUAUUACUUGGCUGCUGGCUCUUUUCUUUCUUUCUCUCCUGAUACGUCAUGUCAUCAUGCUAUAUCUGUCUAUUUCUCCAUUAUGAAAGAUCACAGUCUCAACCACAUCAGCUGUGAAAUUUGAAAACUCUUCUUUCUCAGCAGAUUCCAGUUAUUUUAAAGGAAAAGUCAACUAUAUGUAUUACAAGGAGUAGUUGCCUCUGAUGUUGUGGCUUUCCUUUUAGCACUUCCAACACUGUUGUAGCUACUGUCCAGUGAUACCCAUAUACUGUAUCAAAUAUUUGCAAUCCUGUUGCAGUGCUCCAUAGGAUAUCACUAGAGUUAACACUGAAUUACUUUAAAUAAAGGAAAAACACUGAUUUA